rnacentral:rRNA from 1 species
GGUGUCCUACGGGGCGCAGCAGUGGGGAAUAUUGCACAAUGGGCACAAGCCUGAUGCAGCGACACCGCGUGAGCGAAGAAGUAUUUCGGUAUGUAAAGCUCUAUCAGCAGGGAAGAAAAUGACGGUACCUGACUAAGAAGCUCCGGCUAAAUACGUGCCAGCAGCCGCGGUAAUACGUAUGGAGCAAGCGUUAUCCGGAAUUACUGGGUGUAAAGGGAGCGUAGACGGAUG